GACGGAGGAUGCAAGCGUUAUCCGGAAUUAUUGGGCGUAAAGCGUCCGCAGGUGGAUAUACAAGUCUGCUGUCAAAGUGCAGAGCUUAACUCUGUAAAGGCGGUGGAAACUGUAGGUCUUGGAGUAUGGUAGGGGUAGAGGGAAUUCCCGGUGUAGCGGUGAAAUGCGUAGAUAUCGGGAAGAACACCAGUGGCGAAAGCGCUCUACUGGGCCAUAACUGACACUGAGGGACGAAAAGCUAGGGGGAGC
rnacentral:rRNA from 1 species